ACCCUGCACAGGCAAUUUCCUGCCAUUUCGCCAGUGCUGACUGCCACUACAUCGAUGUGAAAGGCACCAGUCAAGAUGUCACUGAGAGGGAUAUUGUAGGGAUUGGACAUAAAUUAUAUGGAAUUCCGAAAGACACCAGCCUGAAGGAGGUGUCUAGAUAUCGAGCCCGGCUGGUGAAAGGAAGAAGGAUCAACCUUUGAAGUAGCUGCCUCCUGGAGCUCUUUGAGACAAAAACCAAAAGGAAUCAAGAUGCCUGUGGAACAUGUUUUAUUAAUGAGCUGUCCUAAUCUUUCCUGUCACUUGUUAUGAAGAUCACAACGCACUUACAGGGAACUUUAUGGGAUCUGGUUAGCUCUGGGUGAGGGGCUGUUGCUUUAAUGGAUGAACAGGUGUAACAGUGGCCUAUUACUAUUGUCAGGAAUACUACUUUGCACCUAAUAAAGGUCACUGAUGUCUAAUUUAA